GCAAUACAAAUUUCAAGGCUGUGGAACCAGGAGAAGGUCUGAGGAACGGAGCUCCCGGAAGUAAAGGCAUUGCCUCACAUUUGAGUGCAUGAGGAGAAGUAAGGAAGAUUCUAUCACACUCUUGCUGUCAAUGGUUACAAGCCAUAGCUCAGAACACCUGGCAACAGUACUUAAGGAAGGAAAGGUUUGCACUGGCCCGCAGUCUGAAGGAGGACAGAGGACACAAGGCAAUGAGAGCAGCUCUAGGUGUAGCCGUGGGAGCCCGAUAUAGCUGGACGCGCUGCAUCUGAAGCAUGACUUCAGGAUUUGUGGUCAGAAGCACGAGGUGGAGAAGUCCUGAUACAAUCUUUGUACUGUACGGUUGCCGUCUGGACUUCAUUGACUAUCCCGGAGCGAUCCAGCACAAGUGACAAGUGAAGACCUUGGCUGUGUUUCAGAAGCACAAUUACAACUCUUGGGGUAAAGAGCCUCAGCGACAAGGCCCAGGAAAGCAGGUGUAUUGAGAAUUAGAGGUUGGAAGGGCCUUGAGAGCAGAGGUCUGUUGUUUAACAUCAUCUUCGAGUGUACCCUAGCACGGCGGUCUCGGCUGGAGAGAUUUUCUGUGUGCUGAACUUAGAUGGAUAUGUCAAAGUGUACUCAAGCUUUCUUGAACUUUUUCCCCAUCUGAAAUCACUAAAAAUGUGCAGUAUUUCAAAAAGCCCAAGUUUGCCUCCAAAUAUGCUUGUGAAAUGUAUUUCAACACACAUAUCCAACAGUAAGAACAUGCUGGCCAUAUCAAUCCUCACAGCAACUCUUUAUUGCAGCAUAUUGAGGUUUAAUCAGGAAACAGGUUAGAGCUUCUAUGUACAGGUUUUCUUCUAGUUUGAGGUUUUCCUGAAAUAUGUGACACAGACUCGUUAUACAAAUGGCCACUAGUAAAUUAUUUCCAGCAUGUGUUACUCUGUCAACAGUGAUGCUUUCACAGAACCUUUGUCCUCCACAAUUCCCCCCCUCCAUUUAAACCAGGACAUUUCCAUCUCAGUGAGCCACUGCUGUAUUUGGGACCUAAGCGAGAAGCUGGAUAAACAGAGGCGCUAUUAUUAUUGUUACUGUCAAUAUAGUUUCCUUCCCUAGUUAUAACUGAUUAUUUCCUUUUUUCCAUUUCAAAACAUUUUUGUUCAAAUGCUUCUGAUGGCUCUCGUCACAAGCAAUAUUCCUUCGGAAAUAAUGCACCUUUUUAAUUUCUCAACCUAAAAUACACAGCCCGUCAUCUCCAUAGUAGGAUGAUGCUGUUAGAGAGAUCAGCUGUGUCUAGUUGGAGAAUUUUUAGGGGAAUAAGGGAUUACAGGAGCGAGUGCUUCCUCUAUUAGUUCGUGCAAAGUGAAGACAAGAAAGAAAGUCUGUAGGAUGUAAGAGGUGAUGUUACUCCAGCAAGAGUUGGGCAUUUGGAAACACAUGGAGUUAAAAGCAGUUUUCACUUAAUGUGCUUUGUUGUUUCUGCUACAAUAAAAAUAAAUAAUAAAAAUUCUGUUUUGCUUCUU
rnacentral:lncRNA from 1 species